GAUGAAGAACGUAGCGAAAUGCGAUAAUUAAUGUGAAUUGCAGAAUUCCGUGAAUAAUCGAGUCUUUGAACGCACAUUGCGCCUCAUGGCAUUCCGUGAGGCAUGCCCAUCUCAGCGUUAGAAAAUAUUCUCAAAUUUUAGUUUUGUGCUAAAAUUUGGAUCAUGUCAAGGAAGCUAUUACUAUUAUUGUGAUCGCUCUUUGGAAAUUGAUAGGUCUUUGAGUUGCUACUCAUAGAACGUGAUGAAUCUUUCUUCGUUCUAUUGUAAUUCACUCUGGUAGUCCUAAAACUUGUAGGCCGGUGGCAUAUCUUGUAAUUUGACCUGAGAUUGGGUAGGGAUACCCGCUGAACUUAAGCAUAUCAAUAAGCGGAGGA
rnacentral:misc_RNA from 1 species